rnacentral:lncRNA from 1 species
GAGGUCGCUCCAGGGUCAUCUAAGACUGUUCGGAGUAAUGAGAACGCGAGCGACUUCAUGGCGUCGCUUUAGGAAGGUCGCUCUGAGAAGUGGGACACAGCGACUUCGUGAUGUCGCUCCGGGAGGUCGCUCCCAUGCUCGGUUCGUCCAAUGGUCACCUUUUCACCUCUUUUGAGCUCCAAAUAACCUCAUGUGGUACUCCAGUACCUAAUAUAGACUCAUGUAUGCAAAAUGCAACCUAAACAUGUCUAAAUCCUAAUCUAUAUGAUGAAAAUGCUUAUGAAUGAAUGGAUAAAACAAUGCAAAUAUGCAAGCUAUCAACUCCCCCAAACUUGUUCUUUUACUUGUCCACAAGUGAACUUUCUAGAACUCAUAGGGAGAGAGGUUGAAGGUGGGAGCACAUAGCCAAAAGAAACACAACUAACACACUCUCUUAUUACACUCUAGCUUCUCUAGGCCUAUCUUAACUCUUUUUGUUCUUACACUCAUCAUCAAGCAUCCUCACAUUCAAAUCAACCAACUCUCACAUUCAUUAAGCACAAAACAUCAGGUGAAUUCUUGCAAAUGGUCAGUUGGUCCAAGUCAUUUGGUUGGGUAAGGGAAGGCUUUUAUUCAAGUGAUUCAAGAGGUUCAAAACAUAUGAUCUUUAAGGUAGUUUACUCUCGAAACAAGUAGCCUUGACAUUGCACAUAAUAUAUCUAAGAAAGGGAUCAACUCAUGCAUACAAUGCUCAAUCUCCAUUGUUCUACCCUUUUCCCAAACGUACAAUUACACAAUCAUUCUCAAAUGUCAAACCCAA